rnacentral:lncRNA from 1 species
CUUAGGAAAGCAUUGCAGCACAUGCCACCGCUGUCCCUCUCUCCAGGAUCUACGGACUUCUCAACUUUCCUCUCUCCCAAUGUUCUGGAAGAAGUGGACAGCUUCCUAAUAAGGAUAACCAGCUGCUGUUCUACUCCAGAGGUAGAACUGACUCUUCUGGCUUUCGCGCUAGCAAGAGGAAGUAUUGCCAAAGUGAUGAGCUCGCUGUGUGCCAUCUCCGACCACUUGGACACACAGUAUGACGCGUCCUCCCUCAUCUCAUCCAUGGCAUCUGUCAGGCAGAGCCUGCUCC